UCUCCAUGGGAACAACUGGAAACACUAACCUAGGAUAAAGGAAGCAGACACAAGCCAGAUUCUAUCCCCAUGAUCAAAUAACAGUCAGCUGGACUGGAGGAGAGAGAAAACAGAUAGGGGGCUACAAUACCUUCACAGAGUCAUAGCAUCAGCAUCCACAGGGCCCAGAAGAGGGGGCAGCAUCUUCUGUCAGAAAAGUGGGUAAAACUGGUGAAAGGAAGAUGGAAGGACAGGCCUGAUAGCUGAAAGGAGAAGCACGCAUGAGAGAAGACAGGACCAACGGGGCCAGAGGACCAAGGACCUAGCUCCAGAUGAACCCUUGGGAGGUGAGUAUUCACAGUAUGACCCAGUAGGACCAACGGGUCCAGAGGACCAAGGACCUGGCUCCAGAUGAAUCCUCGGGAGAGUCCAAGGAUCACUGUGGAUAAGACGAUGAAAGAUUGUAAGAGAGAUGGUGGGCAACUCUAAAAAAACGACAUGUGGGUACAAUGGGACAGUUCCACACCCACACAGAUGUUUUUGACAGCAUGCACAAGACUGGUGCCGGAUCAAACCAGACAAAAGCCCAGCAUGAAGACAGGAAGAGGACAGAAAAUCCCACCUCUAACUGAGGAGCAACUGCUUUAACACAGUGUGUAAAGUGCAUCCUGGUGAUGCUCUGACAAACAGGCACCGUCCCGGAACCCUGACAGCAUGACACUCACACUGAUUAAUUUUCAGCGACGACUGAUUGGACCGAGCAUCUCCUGGACCAUCGGCAAAGCACACACCUGGGUCAGAGGUGUUGAACCAUGAAGGGAAGAACCACCCCUAGCAUGGAAGACACCGUCCCACACGCUGUGCGUCUAAGGAGGUGAAGAGGGAGAGAAGAACCCCAGCUCGUCCAGAGCUCGCCUCUAGUUCCUGGCUGCCAGGAUGUGGGCGACUCUGCCCUACUCCACUGUGCCCUGAGGAUGGAAGUGAAGAGGAGGACACGGGGUCAUGUGAGAGAGAGGAAUAGUGAAAAUAACAAGUGUCUCAAUCAAGAAAGAAGCAAAACGAUGGGGGGGUGAGGGAUGGGAUUUCUGAAGGAUUGCUGAGAUUUGGCCUGCCAGACAGUGUUUUCUAAAAUGUGAUGGGGCAGGGGAGAAAGGAAGACAAAGGGUUUAGAAAAGCAGAAGAAGGGAAAAGGGGUGAUGUGGAGGCUAGAGAAAGCUACGGUGUGGGAAGGGAGGACCUGGGAAGAGAACUCAAGAGAAAGGCAGAGAGGGUAGAGUAGGUUCUAUUAACCUCACGCAGAAGACAGGAGGCAGCAGAAAGCUGGGAGGGAGGGAGGUGAGGGUGUUGACUCAGAUGUCCCAGGCUGUGGGGUUCCUGGUCUGUGAAGCGUAUCUCUCAGCAGCAGCAAAGACCAGCACCAUCUCUAAGGAGCCUAGUGUAGCACAAGUUCUAAUUGGUCUUAAUAAUAAAAGCCCCGAGUGGGGCUGGAGAGAUGGCUCAGAGGUUAAGAGCAUUGCCUGCUCUUCCAAAGGUCCUGAGUUCAAUUCCCAGCAACCACAUGGUGGCUCACAACCAUCUGUAAUGAGGUCUCGUGCCCUCUUCUGGCCUGUAGGCAUACACG